GCGGUAACGAAGCGUCGGAAGAAUUACCUGAGCUUUUGAUGGAGUCAUCCGUUCAAAUAGUGGCAGAGGAAGAGUUGGAGGAUGUCGAUUUGGGGUAUGUGAUGCCGGUAGUCCCCCCAGUAGCUCAUGGAUGUACUACUGCAGGUACUCCAGUAGGGGGAGUAUUGACUGCUGCUGCCUCACCUGAUGACACCUCCAGGAUGCCGCUGGUGGAGGGUUGCAGGGGCCAACAGGCAAGCCCAGUAUCAGUGCCCCUGGUUGGAUCUCCGUCACUCGAUGUAGUAGUCCCACGUCGAACGGGACGUGUGGGGGCUGGAGAACAUUCCAAUAGGUAUCACCUUCCACGAGGAGUUGGAAUGGUGAACUCUGGGGUGGCUGAGUUUCCAAUCCCAGGGUCCCACGCCGUCAUGGCUUUGUUUCGACCAUGGCAGUAAGUCCCCUGAGAAGUUUCAGGUAAUUGUUUCACCGUCGGGACGACGAUGAAAGGUUGAGGGGGUAGACUGUAGCAGUAUGCAUUUACGCUCCUUAUUAACACACGGCUGGAGGGCGAUUUAACGUUAGUGAUGGGGACUUUAAAUAUGGCUUGUGCACGUCAGCUGGGAAGGCAUCAUAUGUGACGUCAUGUCCUUGUUGUCAUUCCGGCUCGAUGGGCAAGUGCUAGAGAGUGGACGGGGAAAUUAACCGGUAUGCACUCGGCUGCGCUCCUGGUUGUGUAAAACUUCGGUGUGGGGAUGAAUUCCGCGAUGUGUUAAUACAGUGCUGUUGCAGGUGUCUUCCAUAUGCCUGUAUGACGUAAUGGUGGGUUGUUUGUUGCUGCGGUCAGCUGCUUGCGAGACGCUGGAAAUCGAGAUCCAGACCUAACAUAAACUUGCUGUUCCAACAUAAACUCGCUGUUAAAUUACCAAUUAAUGCUGUGACUGCU